UCGGGUGUGGUGUAUGGUGCAUGGCAGUAUUGGGUUCCGUAGACCUAUCAGCGUAUUGCUGCAAGUCCGGGUUCGACUCCCGGCGCCCGAG